rnacentral:ncRNA from 1 species
GAAGAUAAAAGCCGAACCUGCUGUAAGGCAGAGACGGAAAGUCGCGGAUCCUGGAACGAUUUCAGGAAAGCCGGACUGCCGGA